AUUAUAUUUUAUUUUAUUUUAAAGAUUUUAUUUAUUUAUUUGACAGAGAGAGAGAUCACAAGUAGGAAGGCAGAGAGAGAGGGGGAAGCAGGCUCCCGGCUGAGCAGAGAGUGCAAUGAGGGGCUUGAUCGCAGGACCCUGAGAUCAUGACCUGAGCUGAAGACAGAGGCUUAACCCACUGAGCAACCCAGAUCUUUGAAAUACAACUUUAUUCUGCUUCUAAAGGAAAAAGAAUGGGAGUGGCAGAAACAAGAUUUCACCCUUGAACAUUGUGUUGUGAUUGCAGCAGUCUUAUACUGGAAACUUAAGAAGGAAACAGCUGCAUUCUAAAACAGCUAAGCACGUGGGUCCAGAAAACCAAGGCACUUUUCUUAGCUGCCAUGUUCACUCUGAAGCCCGUUCAUCUCCUUCAGAAUCCUAAAGAUGAAGUACACUUUCUCUCAGCUCUUGAUUGCAGUGGCAGACAGCCAGCGCCACUGACGUUACAGUUUUCCUAUAAAAACAGACAUCUGAUGUGGGGUUCCAGCUUCACUUUCUCAUGGGUCAUCGUCCCCAUUUGGGAAAGCAGCUGUCUGAGCAACCUUGAAAUCAUGCUCCUGUUGGAAAGGACAAGCAGUGCAUGUGAGCUGAAGAGUGAAGGGGUGGAAUGUAGUGAGUAUUUUUGGUUUUGUCUGCUCAGCAUUACAUCCUCCCGUUAUAUGCCUGUGGUAAUGGCAUCCCAGUUUUCUUCCCAGAACUGUCCCUCCACCUAUUGGACUGUCAACUCCGGUGUUCUUUCUUUCUGCCCUCAGAUCUUCUCAUCUCUACAGAUGCUGCUUCCCUCCCCAGAGCCCAGACCCAGCACCUACUCAUCACAUGUUCCUUGGGGCUUCCAGGCACCUGCUGUGGUGUUAAGUGAAUCAGCAGAAAGAGCUGGAGAAGCAACACAGGCUUCAUGCUGCUGGCAGGACAGAUGGGUAAGUCCUGGCUGAGGACUGCUGGAUUUGACCAGACACAAUUCAGAGGAGGAGAGAGGGAAGGAGGGCAAAGUAGAGGCAUGCUGUGACCAGCCUUGCACCUGUGUAUUCCAAUGACAGAUAUCCAAGUACCUCCCAACCACGCCCACCCAGGGCCAGGUAGCUUUUUCAAAUCUACACCCCUUUCAUCGCCUAAUCUUGUCCUUGUUAUGUCUUUCCUCUGUCUCGAUCUUGUUAAUGUCCUUUCACAAAACUUUAAUAAUUUUUCCCAUGUAGAAUUCUGGCAUGUCUUUGUUAUAUUUAUUCCUAGAAGCUUGGACUUUUAAAAUAAAAUGGUAAGGUGUGGGUAACUUUUUAGUUAUUUCUUUCUGUUUGUUGUUAAUGCAGAGAAAUGACUUUUAUGUAUUGAUCUGUUACUAGCUACCUUGCUAAAUUCUCCCACAGUUCAUUUUAAUUUCUUAGUGUGUUCCUUGUAGUGUUUUGGGUAGUCAAUCAUCAUCUGCAAAUUAUGACAGUUGUAUUUUUUUCUCUUAAAAGUUUAUGCCAUUUAAAAUUGUUUUUUAUGUGUGGUGUAAGGGAAUGGUCCAAUUUCAUUUUUCUGCAUGUGGCUGUCCAAUUUUCCCAGCACCAUUUAUUGAAAAGGCUGUCUUUUUU
ensembl:lincRNA